UACGUAGGGGGCUAGCGUUGUCCGGAAUCAUUGGGCGUAAAGCGCGCGUAGGCGGCCCGGUAAGUCCGCUGUAAAAGUCCAGGGCUCAACCCUGGAAAGCCGGUGGAUACUGUCGGGCUAGAGUCCGGAAGAGGCGAGUGGAAUUCCUGGUGUAGCGGUGGAAUGCGCAGAUAUCAGGAGGAACACCGAUGGCGAAGGCAGACUCGCUGGGA
rnacentral:rRNA from 1 species